rnacentral:rRNA from 1 species
CCUACGGGAGGCAGCAGUAGGGAAUCUUCCACAAUGGGCGAAAGCCUGAUGGAGCAACGCCGCGUGGGUGAAGAAGGUCUUCGGAUCGUAAAACCCUGUUGUUAGAGAAGAAAGUGCGUGAGAGUAACUGUUCACGUUUCGACGGUAUCUAACCAGAAAGCCACGGCUAACUACGUGCCAGCAGCCGCGGUAAUACGUAGGUGGCAAGCGUUAUCCGGAUUUAUUGGGCGUAAAGGGAACGCAGGCGGUCUGUUAAGUCUGAUGUGAAAGCCUUCGGCUUAACCGGAGUAGUGCAUUGGAAACUGGGAGACGUGAGUGCAGAAGAGGAGAGUGGAACUCCAGGUGUAGCGGUGAAAUGCGUAGAUAUAUGGAAGAACACCAGUGGCGAAAGCGGCUCUCUGGUCUGUGACUGACGCUGAGGUUCGAAAGCGUGGGUAGCAAACAGGAUUAGAUACCCUUGUAGUC